UCGAACUCGGGCCGCCGCGGUGGGAAGCCAGCGACGCCAGCGACUAACCGCUUGAGCUAUGGCGCGGCACUCCCAGUGGUUUUGAACAGAAUCCACGUUUUCGCGCAUACUGUUACAGACGUACGUAUGAGUAAUAGUAUGAGGGGUGAGGCAUAAAACUGACCCUCGCACUGCGACCUUCGAUGAUCUAUUAUGCUUCACCUUUGGAAUAAUAUUACAGACGUACGUACGUUUCAGUGAAGGUAGGUUUAUGCUGGCACAUCAGUAUCGAUCAGUAUGUUGGUAACUGGUACCUUACGCUUUUACAUGACGAAAGCCACAUAAGGCAAACUAUAAGAUAUAUUGUCAAAAACACAGAAAGACUUCUCGUGUUCAUCUCUUGACAGCCGCAAAAACUGUGUGUGACGAUGGUGUAAGUUUCCCAUGACAGUGGAGGUGUAAACUCGCCCAACCUAACCUAUUAGGAGUCGAUGUAAAUGAGACACGCUUAGACAAGUGGCCCAGAAUGCCUGGAGGAAAAAGAAGUGAUGUGUGGGAGCAAGUCAUAUUAAAAGGUUGGCCGCCCUGUCAGUGUGACCUAAAUAUCCGGUGUGCACCAUCAAGUCAUGUUAAGAGGUUGGCCGCCCUGUCAGUGUGACCUAAAUAUCCGGUGUGCACCAUCAAGGUUGGUUUCUUUUCUGGUAUGAAGAGUUAUUUAU